CCUACGGGUGGCAGCAGUGGGGAAUAUUGCGCAAUGGGCGAAAGCCUGACGCAGCGACGCCGCGUGAGGGAUGAAGGUCUUCGGAUCGUAAACCUCUGUCAGCAGGGAAGAACGGUCACUGUGCUAAUCAGCAGUGAAUUGACGGUACCUGCAAAGGAAGCACCGGCUAACUCCGUGCCAGCAACCGCGGUAAUACGGAGGGUGCGAGCGUUAAUCGGAAUUACUUGGCGUAAAGCGCUCGUAGGCGGUAGUUCAAGUCAAGGGUGAAAUCCCCGCGCUCAACGUGGGAACUGCCUUUGAAACUGGCAAACUGGAGUGUGUGAGAGGAUAGUGGAAUUCCAGGUGUAGGAGUGAAAUCCGUAGAUAUCUGGAGGAACAUCAGUGGCGAAGGCGACUAUCUGGCACAUAACUGACGCUGAGGAGCGAAAGCGUGGGUAGCAAACAGGAUUAGAUACCCCAGUAGUC
rnacentral:rRNA from 1 species